rnacentral:rRNA from 1 species
GACGAACGCUGGCGGCGUGCCUAACACAUGCAAGUCGAGCGAAGCCUUCGGGCUUAGCGGCGGACGGGUGAGUAACGCGUGGGAACGUGCCCUUUGGUACGGAAUAGCCCCGGGAAACUGGGAGUAAUACCGUAUGUGGUCGAGAGACGAAAGAUUUAUCGCCAAAGGAUCGGCCCGCGUUGGAUUAGGUAGUUGGUGGGGUAAUGGCCUACCAAGCCGACGAUCCAUAGCUGGUUUGAGAGGAUGAUCAGCCACACUGGGACUGAGACACGGCCCAGACUCCUACGGGAGGCAGCAGUGGGGAAUCUUAGACAAUGGGGGAAACCCUGAUCUAGCCAUGCCGCGUGAUCGAUGAAGGCCUUAGGGUUGUAAAGAUCUUUCAGUGGGGAAGAUAAUGACUGUACCCACAGAAGAAGCCCCGGCUAACUCCGUGCCAGCCGCCGCCGUAACAC